rnacentral:rRNA from 1 species
GUAGUCUGCAACUCGACUACAUGAAGCUGGAAUCGCUAGUAAUCGCGAAUCAGCAUGUCGCGGUGAAUACGUUCCCGGGCCUUGUACACACCGCCCGUCACACCAUGGAAGUCUGCAAUGCCCGAAGCCGGUGGCCUAACCACUUAUGUGGAAGGAGCCGUCUAAGGCAGGGCAGAUGACUGGGGUGAAGUCGUAACAAGGUAGC